rnacentral:ncRNA from 1 species
UAUUUGAACUGCAGUUUAACUUACAGUAAAGAUACUGACUUGUAGAGAAUCCUCACAUCCAACAACAGCAGCCGAUCAUGGCCCAUGGGGUCCGAAACGUUUACUUUGUAAAAAUGUUCAAAGCAGGCCCGGUCGCCUGAAUACCACAGCUAGGAAUAAUGGAAUGGGACUCUGGUUCUAUUUUGUGGGUUUUCUCUCUGAACUGGGGCCAUGAUUAAGAGGGACGGCCGGGGGCAUUUGUAUUCUGCCGCUAGAGGUAAAAUUCUUGGACCAGCGCAAGACAGACUGUUUUUUAUAAAUCAAGAACGAAAGUCCAAAAAAAAA